UUUUUCCUGCUGGGUGCGCGGACUGCGUCCAUAUAACCCUACGAUUUUUUAUUUGGGAGUCUUGUUCUGCGGCUUUUGAAUUGUAGGCCUGCUUUUAUUUUUAAUAUAUUUUUUAAUAUUAAUAUAAUAGUUCAGGAAACGCGAGAUUGUCGAGAAGACGCCCACCUGCUAGUUUGGUAGCAGGUUAUAACGGACGCGAUACGGCUUGGUGGGAUUUUA
rnacentral:other from 1 species